GUUAGCUUAUUGUCUGAGGAUAAAUGCGGUUCAGUUUAAUCAUUUACGUUAAAACAAUAAAAUAUUAAAAUCAUGAAAAAACAUCAGGUUUGAAACUUCUUGGUUUAAAUAACAUCGAAUGUAGUUAGAUUUCAGUGUAUUUAAGUGAGUUUUGACGCUUUGAAAUUUGAUAUUGUCCACAGAAAAAGUUUUCUUGGCUGCUGCAGAUUUUCAUGCCAGCGAAGAAGUGUUUACUCAAACUUUGGCACAAAGUAAAUUUUUAUGCAUGCCGACUUGUGACCUCCACAUCGUCUUCAUAGAGAAAGGCUUUUUUUUUUUCUUUCUUUUUUUUUAAACUGAGCAGCUGGCCACAUUUUUAACAGCAAAACCUGGGCUCUGUGAUGGACAGGUGACCUGUCCAGGGUGAACCCCGCCUCUCAUCUGAUGACUGCUGGAGAUGGGCACCACCAGCCCCAAUCACCACCCUGCAAGGAUCAGCAUGUUCAGAUCAUGGAUGGAAAGAUUUUAAGGCAUCCGGUCCCAAUCAUCAUCAGUUCUAAUGAUGCCACAUACAUAGAGAGUCCACAACCUCUUAAAAUUGUUUCUGUAAAGUGCAGUGGUCCAGUGAAUGGGAAUGUUCUGUUGUUGAUCCUCACUAUUAUCAAGGCUCUCUCUACUUUUAAUUCAACAUUAUGCGAGUAAAAAUGGCUAAUUUGAA